rnacentral:rRNA from 1 species
GACGAACGCUGGCGGCGUGCUUAACACAUGCAAGUCGAACGGAAAGGCCCUUCGGGGUACUCGAGUGGCGAACGGGUGAGUAACACGUGGGUGAUCUGCCCUGCACUUUGGGAUAAGCCCGGGAAACUGGGUCUAAUACCGAAUAGGACCACGCGCUUCAUGGUGUGUGGUGGAAAGCUUUUGCGGUGUGGGAUGGGCCCGCGGCCUAUCAGCUUGUUGGUGGGGUAAUGGCCUACCAAGGCGACGACGGGUAGCCGGCCUGAGAGGGUGACCGGCCACACAGGGACUGAGAUACGGCCCAGACUCCUACGGGAGGCAGCAGUGGGGAAUAUUGCACAAUGGGCGCAAGCCUGAUGCAGCGACGCCGCGUGAGGGAUGACGGCCUUCGGGUUGUAAACCUCUUUCAAUAGGGACGAAGCGCAAGUGACGGUACCUAUAGAAGAAGCACCGGCCAACUACGUGCCAGCAGCCGCGGUAAUACGUAGGGUGCGAGCGUUGUCCGGAAUUACUGGGCGUAAAGAGCUCGUAAGUGGUUUGUCGCGUUGUUCGUGAAAACUCACAGCUUAACUGUGGGCGUGCGGGCGAUACGGGCAGACUAGAGUACUGCAGGGGAGACUGGAAUUCCUGGUGUAGCGGUGGAAUGCGCAGAUAUCAGGAGGAACACCGGUGGCGAAGGCGGGUCUCUGGGCAGUAACUGACGCUGAGGAGCGAAAGCGUGGGGAGCGAACAGGAUUAGAUACCCUGGUAGUCCACGCCGUAAACGGUGGGUACUAGGUGUGGGUUCCUUCCUUGGGAUCCGUGCCGUAGCUAACGCAUUAAGUACCCCGCCUGGGGAGUACGGCCGCAAGGCUAAAACUCAAAGGAAUUGACGGGGGCCCGCACAAGCGGCGGAGCAUGUGGAUUAAUUCGAUGCAACGCGAAGAACCUUACCUGGGUUUGACAUGCACAGGACGCCGGCAGAGAUGUCGGUUCCCUUGUGGCCUGUGUGCAGGUGGUGCAUGGCUGUCGUCAGCUCGUGUCGUGAGAUGUUGGGUUAAGUCCCGCAACGAGCGCAACCCUUGUCCUAUGUUGCCAGCGGGUUAUGCCGGGGACUCGUAGGAGACUGCCGGGGUCAACUCGGAGGAAGGUGGGGAUGACGUCAAGUCAUCAUGCCCCUUAUGUCCAGGGCUUCACACAUGCUACAAUGGCCGGUACAAAGGGCUGCGAUGCCGUGAGGUGGAGCGAAUCCUUUCAAAGCCGGUCUCAGUUCGGAUCGGGGUCUGCAACUCGACCCCGUGAAGUCGGAGUCGCUAGUAAUCGCAGAUCAGCAACGCUGCGGUGAAUACGUUCCCGGGCCU